GUCACGCCCCGGGUGCGUCGCAGCCCCGGAACCAGGCGCCCGCCGGAGGAACCAACCAAACUCUUUCUGUAGUCCCCUCGCGGACGUAUUUCUUACAGCUCUGAGCAAAAAUUCAAAAUGAAUCA
rnacentral:misc_RNA from 1 species